AAUUAUGACCAUGUGAUCAGAGCGUGAUUAACAGCUACCAAUUGUUCUUCGGAUCCUUGGUGCAGUAGAGGAUCGUUCCCAAGCUCCUCUGUGAGCUUCGGAUGAUCUCAUGGUUGUCUGA
rnacentral:snoRNA from 1 species